rnacentral:lncRNA from 1 species
UGACAUUAGGAGAUUAUGUCCCCUCCCUCACACACUCAUACAUCCUUUCCAAAUUUCCUAUUGAUUACUUCCCCAGAGUGAAAGAGGCAGGAAACAGGAAUAUCCUCUCAUGGAUGUGGUUGCCAUCUUGACUGGUGUGGUUAGCACUAAAUCCAUUAGCAUUAAUACUCCCCAUAAGAAGCUUUGGAUAAGUAGCUUUAAAACUCUGGAUGAUCAACAAAGAAAUAGAUUUUCUUGGGGGAGGGUGAAUAUGUUAGAAAAGAAGACAGGAAGGAGGCAGAUGCGCUGAGUCACAGUAGACAAAACUGAUCCUGAAAAAAAUAUGGGAAUCCAAGGCUAAUUGAAGUAAUUACCAGGGUUUGUGAGCCCCUGCCUUCCUAUUGGUGCAACUUUCUUUCUUCCACCCUCCCUGCCCCUCUUAGACUCACUCGGUAUGUGAGUUGCCAUUGAAGCUUGAUAGGCCAUGUCUGAACCAGGUGCCGUGAAUGUACCCAAGGUUAUAUUACCUAGAUUCUUAGCUUGUCACAGUGGUCCCCCAAGAAGAAAUCAGUGUGGAUCCUAUAAAGCAGUGCUUCUCAAACCUUACUGUGUAUAACAGUGACCUUAGAAAUCUUGUUAAAAUGCACAUUCUGAUUCUAGAAGUUUGGAAUGGGACCAGAGAUUCAGUCUUUCAGAGAUGCCUCUGCUCUUUGUUCUGGGGCCACACACUGAGGAGCAACAUCCUACAACACUGGUUCUUAAAUCUCUAUGCAGCUGAAGGUUUCCUACAAUGCUUUUUAUAAAUGACCAACACUCCUUCCCAGAUCAAUGAAAUCAGAAUGGGGAGAGGGGGGUGAGCUGCCAAGUCUUAAGUCUUCACAACCAGCGAUAAAAACCCUCUUCCCACUCUCUGGUGCUGUCAGCUCGACAUCCUACUUUUCACUCCCUUUUACAUCAUUCCUCUCCUGCUACCUGCUUUUCAGAUGCCUUGGUUGGAGGACGUGUCAUGUUGUGUUGGAGCUGAGGAG